rnacentral:lncRNA from 9 species
CUCACGGCGGGAGGCCCCGGCCCGGCCUGGAGGGCGGCGGCAGGGGCGAGCGCGCGCAGGGCUGCCGCGGGACAUGCCUCCUCAGGGCUUGGCCCUCGUGGCCUUUGUGACCUGGGCCUUCCAGGGUCCAGGAGAGGCGGCAUCUGCCCGGCGCGUGCCGGCUUUGUGAGUCACUGUGGCUGCGGAGGAGGAGCCACCCUGCGCUGAGCACACAAAGGGUCCCUAGGGCGGAGGACGCCCGGCCCGGCCCCGCCCCCAGGACAUAACGUGGGGCCCGGGGCCAGGCCCCAGGCCCCAGGCCCCAGGCCCCGCUUCCCCAGCUGCCCAGCCUCCCACCUACACCGGAGCGGCCUCCAACAGCCUCCUCCUUGAACUGUAGGUGGACAGACAGGCCGGAAAUCAACACCCUGACCGCUUCCUGGGUGGAGGCCUGGCUCUCACUGGGAAAGAUACACCCUGAACCAGCUUGCCCCCUGCUCCUGCCCCAGGCUGCCCCUGAGGACUCAGGACAGCAAGCGGAUCAGACAAGGCCCUGCCCUCACGGAGCGCGGGGAAGAGGCCAAGGACACCAGAAAGCUCAGGCGUCAGGCCAAGGGAGGCCUGUCUCGGCAGGGUCCUCUCCGAGAACAAGAGCGGACCGCUCUCUUAGCGGGCUGGGGGCGAGCCCACAGGGUGAGAACCACCAGUGUGUGGGAGCGGGAAAGGUAUCCGAGCUGAGGGAAUGGCAGAUGCAAAGGCCCUGGAGCAGAAGAACCACGGUGUCUCGCUGCAGUCUCUCUCACCUCAAGCAGGUGUGUGGGGUGGGUACCACCUGUCAGCAGGUGCGGCUCUGGGGAUGGCGGUGAGGGAGGCAGGCUGAGGCCAUCUGGGCAGGCUGGCAGAUGGCUGUGGGACGCCCCAGGCACCCGGGUGGGCGGAAGGUUGUGGUCUACCUCACUUCAGGCUGCACUGACCUGGACGGUGAGCUGUGGGCAUCUGUGGGAGGG